AGAGAGAGACAUGCGCGCAUAUCAAUAAGCGGAGGAAAAGAAACUAACAAGGAUUCCCUUAGUAACGGCGAGUGAAGCGGGAAGAGCUCAAAUUUGAAAUCUUCAAGGUUUUACCUUGACGAAUUGUAGUUUAAAGAAGUGUUUUCUGCUGAAGUUUUGGUAAAAGUUCUUUGGAAUAGGACAUCAUAGAGGGUGAGAAUCCCGUAUUUGACCAUUAUUUUCAGCUUUGUGAUACACUUUCAAAGAGUCGGAUUGUUUGGGAAUGCAGUCCAAAAUGGGUGGUAAAUUUCAUCUAAAGCUAAAUAUUGGCGAGAGACCGAUAGCGAACAAGUACCGUGAGGGAAAGAUGAAAAGAACUUUGAAAAGAGAGUUAAACAGUACGUGAAGUUGUCAAAAGGGAAGCGUUUGACACCAGUGUUGUUUUCUCGAAAAUCAAUUAAAAAUGGCCCGAUUUUGUAUUGCUUGAGACCUUAAAAGCUCACUGUACAUUUUUCGUGUCUUUUUUAAUGCACUUUUCGUUUAACAAGUCAACAUCAGUUUCUUUUGUUGUAAAAGGGUCAUUGGAAGGUGGCUUUCUUUUCGGAGAAAGUGUUUAUAGCCCUUGGCCUCUGCAAUCGGAGAGACUGAGGUCUGCAGCGUAGACUCUUCGGGGUUAGAUACAUUUGUGCUAAGUUAUAGCUUUUUAUAGACAACUUGUUGACUAUAAUUAGUCUUGUAGCUUACUCGCUUAUGCUAUUUUACCUACGCUUAGGAUGUUGAGUCGUAGAGCACGCAG
rnacentral:rRNA from 1 species